GGAAGAAGGACGUCCGCCUCUUCGUCGAAAAUGUCUUUUCGCACCAAAAUAAUAAUGGAUUGUGCUUUACGGCCAGAAACUACUGGCAUUUUGUCACAAAUAUUCCUUCAGUUAUUUCCGGUAGUCAAAUAUGAGCAUUCAGGGUGUGAAAGUGACAGCGAGAUUAUUUACCAAAAAUGCAGCUCAAGUACAGAAAAAAAAGGCGCCGCCUAAUUAGAAAAAUUAAAAAGAUGCCUUUAGCCAAUCUAGAGAGUUCAUUUAAUAUUGAAGAACAUAGAAAGGAAAAACCGACCUGUUCAAAGCUAAAGCAAAAGAUGAGUUUUAAAAGGAAGUUUUCAAUCAGCGAUGAACAGCCUGGCUGUAGUAAAAUUGCCGUUGUACCCAAAAUCUCCAAUAAUGUUGAAAAAUUAUUAGAUUCUGAGAAAGCUGUGACCUCUGGUGGUGAAAACCUCGAGAUCAUUGAAGAGUCCAGAAUGCAAUUGAAAAAUAAUGGCAAAAAGCUUACUCUUGAACAAAAAGUGAGAAGAAAUAAAAAGAAUCAUACCUUAAGACCAAUAUGUAAAAACGUAUGCAGAAGGAAAUGUGUAGAAUUAGAUGAAGAAACCCGAGAAGUUAUUUGGAAUCACUAUUGGUCGAUGGAUUAUACAAGUCGCCGAAAGUGGCUUAGUAAGCAUGUCACUUUAGUUCCUGUUAAGCGCAAGUAUUCACAAGCACUACACAAUCGAGCAGAGUCUAGACUUUUUUCUUUACCAAAGUUACCUGAUACCACAGAAAUUUCAGUAUGUAAAUUAAUAUUUUUAAAUACUCUCAGAUAUAAAGCAGACGCUGUCAUUACUCAUUUGGUGUUAGCAAUGAAAGCCGAACCUUGUGGAAGUGCUGUAAAAGAACGCAGAUGUUUAAAUCCUAAACGAAAGGUCGAUCGGAAUAUUAUAAAAGAACAUAUUAAAUCCUUUAACCCUUGCAUAAGCCACUAUAGAAGAAAAAAUGCUCCCAACACCUGAUAUCUACCUAGAUAAUUAACUAUAGAGUUUUUAUUUAACGAUUUUAUUUCACAACAUCCCGGAUUUUGCAAAAUAGAAAUUUACCGAAAAAUGUUACAUUUCACUUUGUCAACUCAAAUCUGACGUCUGCGAAGAUUGUACUUCUUUAAACAAUAAUAUUUUAAAUAAUAACAAUAAUUUAGAGGCCAAGGAAAAAAUAACUAUUCAUGAGUUAAAAGCUUCUCAUUUUUCCAAAAAUUGUUCUAAACGCAUUUUUUCUAUGGAUCUUCAAAAAGUGUUAUUAAUUCCGAUUAUGCCCCAAAGUAAAACUUGUUUUUUUACAAGCAGACUGGUUGUUUUUAACCAGACAUUUGCUAGAAUGAAUAAAAAUGACAAGAACGAUAGUUGUUGUCAGUGGCGAAGCGUACGAGUAGACAAGGUAGACACUGUCUACCCAAAAUUAUCCAGUUAUUUCUUAUUAAUUUAUUACCUAAUUAUUUCAUGUAAUUGUUGAAUUCAAAUUAAAAAAAAUAAUACAGAAUGUAGUCGCUCUCCUUACUAUUAUUAUAUAGUAUCUAAACGGCUAUAAUAUCUAUCUAUCUAUAAUAUUUAAGGCGCGCCCCGCCUGACGCACCAAUUAAAAUAAAAAUGCAGGGCUGAUACCCAAUUAAUGUAUACGAUCCCCAAGAAGACAUAUUGAUAUUUCUCUUCCGAAAUUUGGAGCAUCUAAUCGAACCAUAUACGCAUCAAACAGGUGACAGAGGUCCAGCCGCGUCAGUAUUCAGCCUAUUACGUAUACAAAAUGUACUCGCGGAAAAGACAUUUGAGCUUUUGUCUAUCGAAGUCGACCAGCUAUUUUAUUAUGCUCUUGGUCGGCCGCAAUACAUCUUCAGUUUUGUUUUUUGAUGAAUCUGCAUUUGGCUUUUGGUGCGGGCGCGUGCUAUUGUAAUUUAAUAAUUAGUAUUUUUAUUUUUGGGUGUAUAGAAAAGAUUUUUUUAGUGGAUAUUUUAGGGGUUAUUUAUGAACAACUGUUUGAUCUUGGCAAUUGUAUUUUAGUUGUGUUUUUAUUUGUCUUUAAUUAAUUUUAAAAUAAUGGAUAUUAUGGAUUUAUAAGUUAUGGUUAUACCAUGUUGUGUUUUUUUUGUAAGUAGUAUUUAUUUUUAUCUAUCUAUCUUUUUAUGCUAGUAGUAAUAAUUUUUUUCUUUUUUUAUAUCACUACAUAUUUUUCUCUUUGAGUUAAUAUUCCAUGCGCUUUCAAUCUCUAUUUCAUUAAAGUGCAUAAUAUUGAAUACACAUUUUUUUCUAAUUAACGAUUUUUAUUGUUUGUCUGCCCGAAAGAAAAGUUCACGCUUCGCCACUGUUUGUUGUGAAGUCUGGCAUGAAGCUUUAUCCGGUAGGAAAGCAGAGUCAUUGGUUGAUGCAAUGUUUGAGGUUAUUAAAAUGGAGCGCGAUGUAAGCGGGUUUAUAUUUUGGUGCGACAACUGUGCGGCACAAAAUAAAAAUGGGGUGUUAUUCAUCGCCCUGGUGAGCAAAGUAAAUGAAUCGUUUGGUCCACAAAAAGUAACGAUUCGUUACUUAACAAAAGGUCAUACACAUAUGAGUGCUGAUGGGAUACACGGCAAUAUUGAACAAAAAAUUAAAAGAAAACAAACUGCUUAUGAUUUUCAAGAGCUUCUUGAUUUAAUUGCCAGUUCCAGAAACCAUAAAACUCACUGAGUUUCACGGUUGGAAAAAUAAAAAACGAACUGCAAGAAAAACAGAAGAUUCCUUGAGAGGUUUUUUAUUAGCCGAUUUGGUAGAAGUUUGCUUUUUAAAAGGUAAAACAUGCCUCUAUUAUAAAACAAAUUUUAGCGAAGAAUAUCAAGAACUUAAUUUCUUGCAAAAGAAAUACAAUUUAUCUACCGUGCCUGAGAUGUUACCAAAACGUGGAAUUAAUGCGGAUAAAAAGGAAAAAAUUAUAAGUGAUUUACUUCCUCUAAUGCCAGAAAACCGAAGACUUUUUUGGCAUACGAUUCCUGCAUCAAAUUCCGAAGAUUUGGUUUUGACAAGAGAUGCAAAUGAAACCAUAAAUGAAGAUUAUUAGUUCGUUUUCCCUUAUUUAAUUUUCUUUCAAAUUUGUUCUUUUACUCGUAUACUUAAUAAAUUAGUUUAUAAGAAACAAUAAUAAUUAUAACAAUGUUAUAUGGAUAAUAUUAUUUACGUUUAUGUUUAUCUUUAUAAAGGGCAAGAUUAAAGUUUGUAAUUUUUAUGAUUUUUAGUGCCAAAAUAAAUCUUUUGCAUUGA